GGUCACAGGCCACCUCUGCCUUCGCAGCUGUUUGACAGCAGGCAAGUUACCUCACUUCUCAGUUUAGAUAUCUCCUCUAUGAAAUGGAAGUAAUAAUACCAACCUCACAGAUUUCUUAUGAAGAUCAAACAAGAUAAUGAGGAGACUAAAAAUCCACAAUCAAGUCUACAGAAGUACACAAUCGAUCCACUGUAGCUGUAGGAAUCAAGACUCAGGCUCCAGCAAAGUGGAGUGGCACCAUGGCUUCAGGAACACCAAGAGUCAGAGUUGGUUUGCAGAACCACAUUCUUCUGGGAGUUCUACAACAGUCUUGCCCCAGGAGAAGAAAGGCUGGCAGAAGCAAAGCAACAAGCAAAGAGAACCCUGAUAAGAGCAUGGAGCAGGGCAGGCCUUCUCCAACAGAGGUUGAACUUUGAGACCCAAACGUAAUGGAGUCAAGUAGGCAUUCUGGCUUCCCCCCAGGGCCCCUCAAGGAUAACUCUACCUGAUAGAAUCCCUGAAGCCUUUGAGCCUCUCUAUGACCUCUGACAACGGCUUCUUCCAAGCUCCCAUUGGAACUUGCAUAAGAGCAGCUACACUGGUUGAAUGGAGUCAAUAUGCCUGGGAAGGAGGGAGGCAGCUGUAACUGGAAGUUCACUAGAAAAACUGGGAUAGGGAUACAGUGUGGACAAGAGCUAAGAGAAGACCCAAGGAUAACUGUCAAAUCUGACAUUCUAUUACUUGUUCUAAAAGAUGACUAUCUACAAAUCAUCCCUAGGAUACCCAAGUUCACAAUAUUGCUUAAUGCAAUUAAAAAGAAGUAACACUCUA